AAACCAUAUGAUGAAAUUGGAUUUUCAAUCUCACGACGGUCGACUGACACUAAAACUUGAUACAUUUAUCCAAUAUUUCUGAUGGUU